rnacentral:rRNA from 1 species
AUUGAACGCUGGCGGCAGGCCUAACACAUGCAAGUCGAACGAGUGGCGGACGGGUGAUUAAUGUCUGGGAAACUGCCUGAUGGAGGGGGAUAACUACUGGAAACGGUAGCUAAUACCGCAUACCAUCGGAUGUGCCCAGAUUGGAUUAGCUAGUAGGUGGGGUAAAGGAUCACCAAGGCGACGAUCCCUACCUGGUCUGAGAGGAUUACCAGCCACACUGGAACUGAGACACGGUACAGACUCCUACGGGAGGCAGAAGUGGGGAAUAUAGCACAAUGGGCGCAAGCCUGAUGCAGCCAUGACGCGUGUAUGAAGAAGGCAUUCGGAUUGUAAAGUACUUUCAGCGGGGAGGCGUUACCAGCAGAAGAAGCACCGGCUAACUCCGUGCCAGCAGCCGCGGUAAUUC